rnacentral:rRNA from 1 species
UAGGGAAUAUUGGACAAUGGGCGGAAGCCUGAUCCAGCCAUGCCGCGUGAGGGAAGAAGGUCCUCUGGAUUGUAAACCUCUUUUGGCGGGGGACAAACCACCACUACACGUGGUGCUGAGGGUACCCGCAGAAUAAGCACCGGCUAACUCCGUGCC